CCUACGGGUGGCAGCAGUGGGGAAUAUUGCACAAUGGGCGAAAGCCUGAUGCAGCAACGCCGCGUGAAGGAAGAAGGGUUUCGGCUCGUAAACUUCUAUCAGCAGGGAAGAAGAUGACGGUACCUGAAUAAGAAGCCCCGGCUAACUACGUGCCAGCAGCCGCGGUAAUACGUAGGGGGCAAGCGUUAUCCGGAUUUACUGGGUGUAAAGGGAGCGCAGACGGCAGUGCAAGUCUGGAGUGAAAGCCCGGGGCCCAACCCCGGAACUGCUCUGGAAACUGUGCGGCUAGAGUACUGGAGGGGCAGGCGGAAUUCCUAGUGUAGCGGUGAAAUGCGUAGAUAUUAGGAGGAACACCAGUGGCGAAGGCGGCCUGCUGGACAGUAACUGACGUUGAGGCUCGAAAGCGUGGGGAGCAAACAGGAUUAGAUACCCGAGUAGUC
rnacentral:rRNA from 1 species